rnacentral:misc_RNA from 1 species
GUCAAAACAAUCGCGUCGCUUGCUCGCGCGACGCGCUCUGGACCUUCGCGGCCCGUUAAAUCCGGCGCUCACCGUAUCCCGCUUUGCUCGGCUCGGCGGGGUUGGUGUUGCGCCCGGUGGGCCCCGUGGUCUUAAGCACAAGCCGCGCCGUUGUCCGUGUUCGUCUCGGGACGUCCGCGACGCCGCCUUGCUCUCGGCGGCGGCCAAAUUUCCUCUCCGUCACCGCCAUGCGGGACCCGGCUCGCUCUCGCUAACGGGCCCGCUUGUAACCAGCUCAAGGGUGAUUGCGGAGGAGAGAAGCUUACGCAGACGCGCUCGCUUGACGUAUCGGCGCCCGUACGAAGAAAAAAAAAUUAUUUUUUUUUUACCAAUUUCCGACCUCAGAUCGGACGAGAUUAC